AGGAGCUGGUCCUGGUUUCUGAGUUUGCGUUUCCUCUGAGAACAAACGCACAGCAGCAGACACUAUGCGAGGAGACAAUCAGAAUUAUUUUCUGACUCUUGUGGGAGCCUCUGAAUAUCAAAAACAUCAUUCCUGAUUAACCGUUUUGUAUAUUUCCCCUGCUGAAAAAAAAACAAACUCUCGAGCGAGGCUUUUAAACAGCUGGUCAUAGCUGGCUUUUACAACGGGGUCUGAUUCUGAAAAAUUGACCGGUUUGAUCCUCACAUCAAUGCAGGAUAGCAGUACGAUGUUUUAACAAUAUUUUAUUUCUGAUACAUUAUUUAAAAGAACCCAAAAAGUAUGAUAAAAUGAAUAAUGAUGUGUUGUGCGAAUAUAUUCUAGUCGAAGCUGGCAUCUGUAGCUUCCAUGCAGCAGACGUGGGAGUUGUGCAGUCCUCACUGUGAGUGAGUUUUACAGAAAACGUCUGUUCUGGAUGUGCAAAGAUCAGCUCCAGACAAAGCAGAGUGCGGUCUCUCUAACCCAACCCAAGAGCCCAGUUCUGAUCAGGAGUGCGGUCUCUCUAACCCAACCCAAGAGCCCGGUUCUGAUCAGGAGCGCGGUCUCUCUAACCCAACCCAAGAGCCCGGUUCUGAUCAGGAGUGCGGUCUCUCUAACCCAACCCAAGAGCCCAGUUCUGAUCAGGAGUGCGGUCUCCCUAACCCAACCCAAGAGCCCAGUUCUGAUCAGGAGUGCGGUCUCUCUAACCCAACCCAAGAGCCCAGUUCUGAUCAGGAGCGCGGUCUCUCUAACCCAACCCAAGAGCCCAGUUCUGAUCAGGAGUGCGGUCUCUCUAACCCAACCCAAGAGCCCAGUUGUGAUCAGGAGUGCGGUCUCUCUAACCCAAGCCAAGAGCCCAGUUCUGACCAGGUGUGCGGUCUCUCUAACCCAACCCAAGAGCUCAGUUUUGGCUCAGGUUCAUGCCCCAUCCUGUGACUAAACUGACAGAUUCUGAGUCACACAGACUCACAAUCCACAACCACAGUUCAUCAAAACCAUGGCAACGGUUACCAAGCAACCCUUUUGGGUGCUCCUCUUUCAGCUGUUGGCGUGAGUGCCAGUCUUUGGUAGAAACAGGAGAGGCACAGAGUGGUAUUAAACAGGACAGACACAGAGUGGUAUUGGUCUUUAUUAAACAGGGGAGACACAGUGGUAUUGGUCUUUAUUAAACAGGGGAGACACAGUGGUAUUGGUCUUUAUUAAACAGGGGAGACACAGUGGUAUUGGUCUUUAUUAAACAGGGGAGACACAGUGGUAUUGGUCUUUAUUAAACAGGGGAGACACAGUGGUAUUGGUCUUUAUUAAACAGGGGAGACACAGUGGUAUUGGUCUUUAUUAAACAGGAGAGACACAGAGUGGUAUUGGUCUUUAUUAAACAGGAGAGACACAGUGGUAUUAAACAGGAGAGACAGAGUGGAAUUGGUCUUUAUUAAACGGGAGACACAGUGGUAUUGGUCUUAUUAAACAGGGGAGACACAGUGGUAUUGGUCUUUAUUAAACAGGGGAGACACAGUGGUAUUGGUCUUUAUUAAACGGGAGACACAGUGGUAUUGGUCUUUAUUAAACAGGAGAGACACAGUGGUAUUAAACAGGGGAGACACAGAGCGGUAUUAAGCAGGGGAGACACAGUGGUAUUAAACAGGAGAGACAGAGCGAUAUUAAACAGGAGAGACACAGUGGUAUUAAACAGGGGAGACACAGAGCGGUAUUAAACAGGGGAGACACAGUGGUAUUAAACAGGAGAGACAGAGCGAUAUUAAGCAGGAGAGACACAGAACGGAAUUAAACGGGAGACAGAGAGCAGUAUUAAACAGGAGAGACACAGAGCAGUAUUAAACAGGGGAGACAGAGAGUGGUAUUAAACAGGAGAGACAGAGCGAUAUUAAACAGGAGAGACACAGUGGUAUUAAACAGGGGAGACACAGAGCGGUAUUAAACAGGGGAGACACAGUGGUAUUAAACAGGAGAGACAGAGCGAUAUUAAACAGGAGAGACACAGAGCGAUAUUAAACAGGGGAGACACAGAGCGGUAUUAAACAGGAGAGACACAGAACGGUAUUAAACAGGAGAGACACAGAGUGGUAUUUAUACAACAUGUCCGCUGCAGCAGGGGAGCAGAUGUCUUUGUCAUGCAGGGCUAGGGGCAGUUCAUGGCUUACUGUGAACUGGCGGGACGUGCUAAUCUGCGCUUAAACCUGUCCUGGAGCACGGCUUGCAGAGAAAUGCCAGGAGCGUGUAGAAUUGCAAAACACACACGCACACACACACAUACUUUCAGCCGACCCACACUUAGAGUACGUGCAGAACAGAAACUGCAGGGGUCAUAGGUCACUAUGAACAUUUCUGAUGGGGGGGGAAGGUCUAUGACAUUUGCACACAGAACAUAAGCUUUGGACACUACCAAUUUUGAAAAGCACAAUAUUCUUUUGUAAAAUUCCCUUUUCAUUUUUCCCAAAAACAAAAGUAAGUUGUACUUCCCACAGUGCACUGUGCAAACGCCUACCAUCCAACAAUAAUUUAUCAUUUUAUAGAAUUCAUCAUUGAAAAAGUAAAGAGAUUGUUUUUGUUUAUUUUUAAUCUGUUCGUAAGGUACAGCAUAAUGAAGAGGAGAGGAGACAGUCAUCUCUGUUAGAGGGGAAACCUUGUAUGCCAUGAUAGAUUUGUAUAAAAAGACCUUCAGCAUUUUUACUGUGUCACAAACAGGAGAUUCAAUAAGCCUGUUUCAUGCCAGGGGGAAUUUGAGCCAAUGUUGAACUGAAUAUUGUUUUUUAUUGUUUAGUUAGGAUUUUUAGGGUUUGGUCCUGUUGAUUUUUGUGGCACACUUAGUGAAUAUCACGCUUUUCAAUCUUUGUAAUCUAACAUUCUUACUUUUUUGUCAUCUUUUUAUGGAGAAGAGAAAAAUAAGUUAUCCAGUGUGUUCACAAGGCCUUCACGGUCCCUUUUUAUAGACCAGGAUGGAAAGAUGUAACUUGAAUUAUCGCCUGUGGAAAUAUAAUAAAUGAAUAAACAUGUUCAUAAAUAAAUGAGACCUUUUCUAACCAAA